GCCAUUUCCACCAUGUAACUCGCCGCUGUGGGACACUUGAACUUUAAACUAAGAAUGCUGGUGAGAUGGGGAACAAGCAAGAGUUCAUGCAGAUGAGAUUCAUCAAACAGAUAGAGCAUAUCCAAUUGGAAUGGAGACAGUACCUGAUCUGGAUCCUCAAUGGAAUUAUAAUUCCACAGGUGGUAUUCUAGCCAGGGACAGGUUUGUUACAUGUCUUUUGGUGGGCCUGAGAAAGGCAGUUCUAAAGCCGGUAAAUUUUGAAAAACUUCAAGAGGUUGUCCAAGACAAACAGGAAAAUUCAUCUCAGUUUUUAGAACGCCUUAAAGGGGCUUUACUGCAAUAUACCAAUCUGGACCCUGAAAACCCAGAGGGUAAACAACCCUUAAUGACUUACUUCUUUUUCCAGAGCUACCCCAACAUAAGAACUAAACUUAAAAAGUUGGAGAGGGGACCCCUGACUCCACAGGCAGAAGUCUUGGCACUGGCCUUCAAAACGUACCAUGGGAGAGAUGAGAGGGUUUGCAAACAGAAGUACAAUAUGCUAGCAAAGGCUGUCUGACCAGCCCCAGCUGCUAUCCCUAGCUCAUGGUCUUCUAAGACCCAGAGACCACUGGGCACCUGUUACAGGUGCAGUCGACAAGGUCAUUGGGCUAAAACCUGCCCUAAUCUCCGUCAGCCAAGAGGGCCAUGCCGUAGGUGCCAUCAAGAGGGACAUUGGGCUGUUGAUUGUCCCCAUGU
rnacentral:lncRNA from 1 species